ensembl:lncRNA
CAAUGAAGGUGUGAAGGACAUUUAUAUGUGUCUGACUCGCCACCAAGUCGAUUCAUCUGGCUGGAGACUAAUUAAAAGGUAAAUACUAAAAGGAGAUGAUGAUCAGCACACAUGCACACUCUCACACACACACACACAUGCAGUGGGACACACUCUCACACACACGUGCAGUGGGACACACUCUCACACACACACGCAAUGGGACACACUCUCACACACACACGCAAUGGGACACACUCUCACACACACGUGCAGUGGGACACACUCUCACACACACACGCAGUGGGACACACUCUCACACACACACGCAAUGGGACACACUCUCACACACACAUGUAGUGGGACACACUCUCACACACACAUGCAUUGUGACACACUCUCACACACACGCAGAUGGAACACACUCUCACACACACAUGCAGUGGGACACACACUCACACACACGUGCAGUGGGACACUCUCUCACACACACAUGCAGUGGGACACACUCUCACACACACAUGCAAUAGGAGACACACACACACAAACAGUGGGACACACGCAGGAAGCUGCUGAUUGGCUCAGAGUCUGUCUGUCACACUAAUGGGCUGCUGUCAGAUCGCCGGAGCUUCAGUCCGACAGAAGGAAAAAGGGAGAGAGAGAAAGUGGACGAGUGCAGUGUCACUCUGUUG